rnacentral:rRNA from 1 species
CAGAGGGUGCGAGCGUUGUUCGGAAUUACUGGGCGUAAAGCGCGCGCAGGCGGUCCUUUAAGUCUACCCGUGAAAUGCCGGAGCUCAACUCCGUGCACGCCGGGGGAUACUGGAGGACUGGAGACGAGUAGAGGCAGGCGGAAUUCCGGGUGUAGCGGUGGAAUGCGUAGAGAUCCGGAAGAACACCGGAGGCGAAGGCGGCUUGCUGGGCUUGGUCUGACGCUGAGGCGCGAAAGCGUGGGGAGCGAACAGGAUUAGACACCCUGGUAGUCCACGCCGUAAACGAUGGGCACUAGACGCGGGUGGGAUCGACCCCUUCCGUGUCGCAGCUAACGCGCUAAGUGCCCCGCCUGGGGAGUACGGCCGCAAGGCUG